UACCAGCUCUCCGAGUGGUAGGGAUGAUUAUUGGGCUUAAAGCGUCCGUAGCCGGCUUAGCAAGUUUCCUGUUAAAUUCAGCGACCUAAUCGUUGAGCCGCGGGAAAUACUACUAGGCUAGGAGGCGGGAGAGGUCGACGGUACCUCUGGGGUAGGGGUGAAAUCCUAUAAUCCCGGGAGGACCACCAGUGGCGAAGGGCUGUCGACUAGAACGCGCUCGACGGUGAGGGACGAAAGCUGGGGGAGCGAACCGGAUUAGAUACCCGGGUAGUCCCAGCUGUAAACGAUGCGGGCUAGGUGUUGGGGUGGCUACGUGCCACUUCAGUGCCGCAGGGAAGCCAUUAAGCCCGCCGCCUGGGGAGUACGGCCGCAAGGCUGAAACUUAAAGGAAUUGGCGGGGAGCACCACAAGGCGUGAAGCUUGCGGUUC
rnacentral:rRNA from 1 species